GACGAACGCUGGCGGCGUGCUUAACACAUGCAAGUCGAACGGUAAGGCCCUUCGGGGUACACGAGUGGCGAACGGGUGAGUAACACGUGGGUGAUCUGCCCUGCACUUCGGGAUAAGCCUGGGAAACUGGGUCUAAUACCGGAUAGGACCACUGCCUGCAUGGGUGGUGGUGGAAAGCUUUUGCGGUGUGGGAUGGGCCCGCGGCCUAUCAGCUUGUUGGUGGGGUGAUGGCCUACCAAGGCGACGACGGGUAGCCGGCCUGAGAGGGUGACCGGCCACACUGGGACUGAGAUACGGCCCAGACUCCUACGGGAGGCAGCAGUGGGGAAUAUUGCACAAUGGGCGCAAGCCUGAUGCAGCGACGCCGCGUGAGGGAUGACGGCCUUCGGGUUGUAAACCUCCUUCAGCACCGACGAAGCGCAAGUGACGGUAGGUGCAGAAGAAGGGCCGGCCAACUACGUGCCAGCCGCCACCGUAA
rnacentral:rRNA from 1 species